rnacentral:rRNA from 1 species
AUACGGAAGGUCCGGGCGUUAUCCGGAUUUAUUGGGUUUAAAGGGAGCGCAGGCGGAGAUGCAAGCGUGACGUCAAAUUUCGGGGCUCAACCCCGUCUCGCGUCGCGAACUGCGUCCCUUGGUUGCGGGAAGGGGAGGCGGAACUCGUGGUGUAGCGGUGAAAUGCAUAGAUAUCACGAAGAACUCCGAUCGCGAAGGCAGCCUUCCGGCCCGUCAACGACGCUCAUGCUCGAAGGUGCGGGUAUCAAACAGGAUUAGACACCCUGGUAGUCCGCACAGUAAACGAUGGACACCCGCGGUUUGGCCUGUAUGGCUGAGCCGCCAAGCGAAAGCGUUAAGUGUCCCACCUGGGGAGUACGCCGGCAACGGUGAAACUCAAAGGAAUUGACGGGG